GGAAAAUCAAUGAAGAAGAUUUCAGUCCUGAGAUCUUUUUCCAUGGAGGCAAAAAGGCAAAAGGAGCCAUUCCCUGUAGUGUUGGUCUACAGCUUGGAUGAAAAGACAGAGAAGAAGGCAGGGAAAAGUCAAACAGAAGAAUUUGGGAUCUUGUAUUUCUCAUGUGUGCUGCAGAGAGGAUGGAUGGUUCUGCAUUAUGACAGGAUUCCCCCAAAACUAAAUGAGUAUAAGGUACUGGCAAGUAUCAGAGCUCUGGUUCCACUGUCUACAGCCUUAUCCGUUUGGCGCCUGAUCCAGCCCUCUCACAUUACCAGCAGUGGGGUCUGUUUUCAGCUGUGAAAAGCUGUGAGCAUGGCUCCAUUCUUCCCCUCCUCCCACUGUAGACUCUCUCCCUGCUUUUCUUCUUUCCCUCUUAUCCUUCUGCUCCCAGGGCUCCCUUCAAGAGCUGUGAAGCAAAAAAAACCCAAACCAUGGUAAUCUGCUAGAGAGUGGAACUAGGGAUUUAUAACCUCGCUUGAAUUUUGUGGUUGUGGCUCCCCAGUAUGGGAGCUCCCAGAGCAGCUAAAAGCCCACUUUAGGUAGGUUGCAUGACUGAUCAUCUUCUGCGUGGGCUGGACUGGGAUGGAGAGGAGCUGUAAGCAAGCAGAUGGGAGAGCUGUGUGCAUAAAAUUCAGAGCUACUAUCCCAGGUCAGGAGCCUGAACAUUCUCUGAACUAUUCUUCCCCUUCCUAAAACAUCUUUUUGUCCUCUUUAAUUUCAUAUUUGUCUUGCUCAUGCAUU
rnacentral:lncRNA from 12 species